ACUACGGGGUGCAGCAGUGGGGAAUAUUGGACAAUGGGCGAAAGCCUGAUCCAGCCAUGCCGCGUGUGUGAAGAAGGCCUUCGGGUUGUAAAGCACUUUCAGUGGGGAAGAAAGCCUUGGGGCUAAUACCCUCGAGGAAGGACAUCACCCACAGAAGAAGCACCGGCUAACUCCGUGCCAGCAGCCGCGGUAAUACGGAGGGUGCGAGCGUUAAUCGGAAUUACUGGGCGUAAAGCGCGCGUAGGCGGUCUGAUAAGCCGGUUGUGAAAGCCCCGGGCUCAACCUGGGAACGGCAUCCGGAACUGUCAGGCUAGAGUGCAGGAGAGGAAGGUAGAAUUCCCGGUGUAGCGGUGAAAUGCGUAGAGAUCGGGAGGAAUACCAGUGGCGAAGGCGGCCUUCUGGACUGACACUGACGCUGAGGUGCGAAAGCGUGGGUAGCAAACAGGAUUAGAUACCCGGGUAGUC
rnacentral:rRNA from 1 species